AUCCAGCUGACAAGUCCCAAAUAGGACUUAACGCACUUCCUGGAU
rnacentral:hammerhead_ribozyme from 1 species